CAAAUGAAUACAUUUCAAUCUGAAAACAUAGAUCAACACAUUUCAACAAAAAAAUACUUUCAUCAUUCAAUGAUUGCAAGUCCUACUUUUGCCUACCCGAACCUACUCUUUUCCUAUCCAAUUCGACCUAUCAUGAUACUAUCAUAUCAACGAUAUUCAAUGAAUCACAAUAAAUUAACGCUUACUUUUAUCAAUUUCGAUUCCAUCUCCUACUAAUUUCAUUUUUUUAUCAAUCAAACCUUUAACGUUACUCCGAUUCAUCCCACAUAUCAACAAAAUUAAAUCUUCAAACACAUAAUUAUAACAUCAUAACACCAACAAAAUUCAAAACUAUCAACACAUAUCACAACCAAUCCAAAUAAUCGAAAUAAAGAACAGGGAGACGGGUUAAAGAAAUGAACCUUUUGAUUACCGACUUUUGUUGAUAAUAAAGAAAUUCGAGACCAAAAUCCUCGAACAAGGAACCCAACUCAAACCUCAAUCUCGACUACCAGCUGACUCGACCAUAAAAAUCAAGAAAUUUGAGUUGAAUAAAAUUGAAACAAUACCCACGUACACCUGGAACACCCGAAAUAGAAAUUUCGACAAAAGCCCCGAACCCGUAUGCAAAACUGUAUGGAAAUCGAAUCAAAUGGCGAAAGUUCGGCGAGGAAUUGACUGUUGGUUCUGGUUUCUCAAAGCGGUGCCGGAGUUCGACGAAAACUGACUGAUUCCGGCAGAGAGUUUCGCCAGAAAACUCGGUGACACUGACGUGAAGCCUUGAAAACUAGCAGAAAACCCACCUAUGGACUGAUCUCACGCCUCUUCUCUAUCUCUCUCAACCUUUUCCUCUAUAUCUUGCCUUCGUGAGCUGUGUAUAUAUGUUUUUUGUGUGCGUAUAUGGUGAGGUUAGUGGACGAUGGUGUGUGGAAGAGAAAAUGAUGAAAAGAAAAAAUAGUUUUCUCUCUUCCCUGAAUAUGGAGAUUGUCUAUUAUAUAUAUUUAUAAGAGGAAGGAGGGAAACCAAGUCUUGACUUAGGACAUCCAACCUACCCAAGUUAUGAAAGAAACCCGUCACAGGUACUUCCAAAGGAAGGAGAAGGGCUAUACCGAGUUGGAGAGCCGAGUGAGGUUCCAUGGAGGUCCGUUCCACGGCUCUGUCAUUACAUCAAAAUGAAAAUUACAAGUUAAAGCAUAAAUGAAAUUACAAAAAUCUUAUCUAUACAGCUUCUGUUGGACUCCUAACUUAAGUUUCAUCACCCUAUUCUUCAGGCAGGCUCCCGACUUGCAAUUUCAUCACUUGUUGCCUGGUUUUCAAUUGCUUCACUUUGUUGCUUAACUUUUCAUUUAUUCGCCCUGUGCUUUGGGUGGGCUUUUGACUUGCCAUUUCAUCACCCUGUUCUUCAGGCGGGCUUCUGGCUUGUAAUUUCCUCACCCUAUUCUCCAGGCGGGCUCCUAACUUGCAAUUUCAUCAACUUGUUAUUUGGCUUUCAAUUGUUUCACCUCAUUGCUUAACUUUCAAUUUCUUUACCCUAUUCUUCAGGGGGGCUCCUGACUUACUAUUUUUCAAUCUUUUAACUUUCAAAUUUUCACCUUGUUGCUUGACUUUCAACUUCUUCAAUUUGUUGCUUGACUUUUUAUUUCUUCACCCUGUUCUUCAGGCGGGCUCCUGACUUAUAAUUUUCUUACCCUAUUCUUCAGGCGGAUUCUUGAAACCAAAAUCAAAACUAGAACGAAAGUUAUCCCAAACAAAGAUUAUAAUAAAGAAAGAUUUCAUCAUUUUUUGAAAGUAAUGUCCCAUUUUUCAGGAGGGUCCUGAACAGAAAGUAAAAUCUCAUUUUUCAAGAGGGUCCUGAACAGAAAGUAAGAUUCCAUUUUUCAGGAAGGUCCUGAGUAGAAAGUAAAUUUCCAUUUUCCAGGAGGGUCCUGAACAUAAAGUAAAUUCUCAUUUUCCAGGAGGGUCCUGAACAUAAAGUAAAUUUUCAUUUUCCAGGAGGGUCCUGAACAUUUGGUGAGUUCCCAAAACAAGAAUUAAAUUUUGCCCCAGUUUAUCAUCAACGGACUUUUGUUAAAAUCACAUCAUUAUAGGAAUCAAGGAGAAUGACUCGACUACAAGGUACGUCUUAUAGGAAUCAAAGUAAUUGACUCGAAUAAAAGGUACGUCUUCUAGGAAUCAAAGAGAAUGACUCGACUAAAAGGUGUGUCUUAUAGGAAUCAAAGGGAGUGACUCAACUAAAAGGUACGUCUAAUAGGAAUCAAGGGAGAUGACUCAACUAAAAGGUACGUCUUAUAGGAAUCAAAGGGAAUGACUCGACUAAAAGGUACGUCUUAUAGGAAUCAAGGGGAUUGAUUCGACUAAGAGGUACGUCUUAUAGGAAUCAAGGGAGAAUGACUUGACUAAAAGGUACGUCUUAUAGGAAUCAAAGGGAGUGACUCGACUAAAAGGCACGUCUUAUAGGAAUCAAAGGGAGUGACUCGACUAAAGGGCACGUCUUAUAGGAAUCAAAGGGAUGACUCGACUAAAAGGUACGUCUUAUAGGAAUCAAGGGAUGACUCGACUAAAAAGUACGUCUUAUAGGAAUCAAAGGAAUGACUUGACUAAAAGGUACAUAUUCUAGGGGUCAAAGGGAAUGAUUCGACUAAAAGGUACGUAUUGUAGGAAUCAAGAGAGAUGACUCGACUAUAAGGUUCGUCUUAUAGGAAUCAAGGGAAAUGACUCAACUAAAAGGUACAUCUUCUAGGAGUGAAAGUUCAAUUUAAGAAGUGUAUCACCCAGCAAAUGAAAACUGAAAUCCCUGGACAAGAAAGUGUUUCUCCGAGAGAUAUAAGAUAAUGUUUUUUUACCAUGAUUUAAUUAUCAAACCUGUGCAGCAACAUUGCUUCCUGCAUUGUAAAAGUGAGGCAUUGCAGCCCUUGAUGUUUAUGAUCUGAAGUUCUUGCUUUGAAGGUAGUAUGUUUCCUGUUUCAUCAAAGAAAAGUUGUGAGUUUAAAACAUGGUGGCUGGUUUGUGGCUUUGGUUUUCGUGGCAAACGCUCUUGCCAUCAUUACAUUUAACCUUGCUUCCAACCAUUAGCAUAUGCCAUUGACUUUCUACAUCGUUGACCCAACUCUAUUUAUUAAGAGUGACUCUGAAACAAACACGGUAUCUUUACUUCACCAUGCUCAUCAGAUAAACCCUUUGAACCUUGGUAUUUUCAUGAGUUCCCAAACUUGUCUAUUGACACAAUUUUGCAUGCCUUAUUCCGGCUCACAAUCAUGUCUUUGGUAUGUGCUGGUCCUUUUGUCUUGCUUUGUGCAAUUGAAGAAGUUGGUAGCCAGUUUUGAAAUCUUUUCUCACUUGUUUUGACACGGAUUUGACUCAAAGACAAGAGAAAAAUGACAAUGACUUUUAUUUGGACAAUUGAAUCAAAAAAACCAAAUAAAAUAAAGAGGAGAAAGAAAAUACAAUGAGUGUCCCCAUUUGAAACAAAGAAUUGAAAAAUUUAUCUAGAAAUAAUGACAGUCUAUGUAGGACUUACAACUUUUGGAAUCGACUCAAACAAUGAGGAUUAACUGUGCCUAGUUUCUUUGGCCUUGGCAAUUCUAAACUGUUUAUUUGGUUGGACCGAGCCCUGAGUAGGGCAGCCUAUGUAUAUCACCCUCGAGAGAGGAGAAUCAGGUCAUGCGUAGUUCUGGCAGCUUGUUUUUUUGCUUGAUUUUAAUUCUUUUUGCUUUUCUUUUUUAUUGACUCUUUUCUCUUUUUUCUGGACAUUUUUCUCCUUUUUUUUUUGGACACAUAUUUUCUCUUUUUUUUUACACUAUUUUUUGUUAGACACUUUUCUUUUGAGCUUUGCUGACUCUAUCUUGAUUCUAAAAAAGGUAUAUGAAAGAAAAUAACACUAAGUCUCAAAUGGGGUACACAAAGGAUGACACAAUGUAUGGAUAGAAGACUGAAAUGCCUUCGUCAUAUUAAUUCUUGAAAAUGCAAGUACAUAUCAUGCAACAUGAAAGUGAGAGAUGAAGAUCAUUUGUGAUAUUUUUAAGCAAUAACUUUAACUGAGUCUGUGCGUCACUACUUUUUUACUUUGUUCAACAUAUCACUCUACUAUUGUUGUACAUCCCUCAUAUUGAAUGACUCAUGAUUUUGUGGAGAUGAUUUUCUUCCCGUUUUUUUGAUAUAGGAUUACACAUUCCUUGUUUGACCUAAUUGGGAUAUGUCUUUCGAUUGAUGACCAAGUUAUCCUUGUGAUUCUUAAAAUAAAUGUCUUAAUUUUUAAAGAAGGCUUCAACUUGAUCACCAAAUGCCUCAGUACACUACCUAUUUUUUCAAAUGCUCUCAUUUCCUAACUUUAACUCUCUGAUUCAAUGUUCAUGCUUAAACUGGAUUUUAAGAUCUAGCUGAAAAUUUUGUUAGCAUGUCAUAUCACUAGAGUCAACAUAAAAUGUAUUGUGGAAAGAAAAUAAAGAAACACAUAUUUAAAAUACAAAGGAAAAAGGGACACUCUAUUUAAUUAAAAUGAAAGAUAGAAGGGUUUGAACAUAAUGACAAAAGGGACAAAACAAGAUAGAUCCCGAACUACAUCCUGAAAAUAAUUCGGAUAGCAGAAAAUAAAACAAAAUAAACUACCAGACCUCUUCCUAGUAGGGAGAGGGGUGACUUUUCAAUUGCUCAGCCUGACAUCUUAGCCACUAGUUUGCAUAUCAGCAUGACUAGAGUUUUCCUCACUGUCAAUGUUCUGCACCAUAAUCAAUUUGUCUUGAAUCAUCUUUUCAAUUUCUCCUUUCAAAGCACGACAAUCUUCAAUACUGUCACCCUGAACAUCAGAAUGAUAUGCACAUCAUACAUUAGGAUCAAAACUUCUUGAAUGUGGGUUAGGAGUAUACCCAAGGAGAGGAGUGAUCAUGCUCGCUAUGCCAAUCUCUAAAAUAAACUGACAUACGACUCCCUAAUUGGUGUGAAACUAUCUCUCAAUUUUUUACUCAUUUCAUUAUUUAACUUGGAUUGAACAGUGGGCCUAGAAGGGCUUUGGUAUGUUUGUGAAAUUGGAGGAUGACUUUGAGGAGUUAGUGCACGCCAUUGUGGGUAAGGAGGGAGUUAAACAUAUGGUUGUGCGCAAUAUACCAGAUAUGGAGGUGGGAAAACAUAGUAUAAUGAAUUUCGGGAGUGAUUAUGGAAAGCUUGGGUAUGAACUUGGGCUUGAGACUGACGGCAACGACGACAUCGUUUUCUUGGAUGUGCCCGUUCUCCAACUACAAUAGCAGUGUCAUCUUUCUCAUUCUUCUUCCCUCCAGGUUCCCUUAAUUGAUUGCAAUAUUGUCCUAAAUAUUUCAUGGAUUUCUCAUGCCCAUCUUGCUCCUCAAAUUUCGACAUCUCAAAGAUUGGAGGAAGGUUAGCACUUAAAGACAUGCCCCAGUCUUUGUAUGAAACAUUUUCUUUACCCAUAGGUCCUAAAGAAUUUUUCAUAGCAUUUUCUGUACUUUUUAUUUUUUCAACCAUUUUCUCCGACUCUUUUGGCACACUAGACUUCUUGUUAAGAAAUUUUGGUGGUUCAGUUAACUUAAAAUCAGGCUCAAGAGUAUAACAAUGAUUACUAAAAGUAUUGAAUAUAAGUUCACUAGCAACAUGGGGACGCACAACCGUUGGGUGAGCCAGUGCGGAAGUCCCAGUAGAGGAUUGAGCAACAAGAUCGCAGACGACAUGUGGUGUUGUGAAUGUAGCAGGCUUAUGCUGAGGAGCUAGAGGAAAAGUGGUGGAAGUAUUGAGAUGCUUUUGGCUUGGAAUGAAUUCUGAGUCAUGUUGUGGUGCAUAAACAAUAGUAGAAAACUGACUUUCAGAUUUUGGUGGAAAACUCGAGGUAUUUGUAGGAUCAAUAAAGGGAAAUGGAGGAGGAGACAACCCACUGGCCCAAGCUCGAUGCAUUUCAGUCAUUUGUUGUCUUAGCCUCCUAAUCUCUUGCUUCAAACUCUCAUUUUUCUGAUUCUUUGUUUGAUCCAUGAUGUCACUCUCUAUAUCUUUAUUGGACGCAACUAACCUUCUAAAUUUGAUGUGAUGUGAAGGACCAACCAGAAUGCCACAAACCAACCACCUUAAACUAACUUAACAAAAAAAACAACAAAUGUGUUAGAGUUCAACACUUUUUCAAAACCUCUUUUUUUUUUAAAAGAUCACCGAACCCAAGAAGGGCGCCUACGUAUCUCACUCUCGAGAGAGGAGAAUCAGGUGUGCGUAAUUCGUGAGGUCUUGCCAAAAUGGCCAAUUAAACUUUUUUCCUUUCUUUUUUUUUUCUUGAAACUUCAAAAAUAAUAAAUUGUCAAAAGAAUUGACGAAAAUCUUUUUGCAUUUUUCAGGUUUAAACUCCCUAUAUAAAAUGAAACCUAUGAUUACCAAAGAAAAUCUUUUUGGGUUUUCAAUUUUGCAUUUAAUACGAAAAUGAAACUUGAACCUAUUAAAGGAAAUUUUUUUGUAGUUUUCUUUUAUUGAUGCAUAUGACAUCUACUCUAAAUGAAGAGUGAAGAAAAUUAUUUUUGGAUUUUUUAAAAUAAGAUCCCCGAACCAACAAUAGAUUGUCUACGUAUCUCACAUCCCGAAAGAGGAGAAUCAGGGCUGCGUAGUUCGUCCAGAUUGGACAAUUAACGAUUAAUUAAUAGAUUGACCCUAACUCAAGAGACACAACCAAAGACAAACGAAUAAAAUCUUUUUUUUUUUGGUUUUUAAUUAGACACUUCAACUAAGACUGACACCAACAACUAUGAAGAAAAAUCUUUUUGGUAUGUACAAAUUUCUACCAACCCUUUUUUUGAAUAUUCUUUUAUAAAAUCUACUACUAUAUAAAAAUCUUUUUUUUGUGUUUUUUUUUUCUAAUUAUGAAUGCUUAUUAAAAAACAAAAUGAAAAUCUUUUUGUGCUUCUUUUCUUUUGACAAAUAAGUAGAAAAGGUAAACAAAAUUCAUUUUUUUUUGAAUUUACGGUACUUUGAGAAAUAAAUGCAAAAGGCAAAAAAAAAAAAAAAAAAAAAAUUUUUUUUGAGUUUUUGGAUUGUGAAGAACAAAAGUCAUAAAGAACUCUAAAAUAAACUAAGACACUUUUUUUCUUUCUUUACGACUUACUUUUUUUUAUUUUUUUGCAACAUUUCUUGCUUACGCACCUUACUUCUAACACAUGUUUUCCCCAAAUCAGUCCGUCAAAUGACCACGUUGCCCUCAAAGAUGCAACAUUUAACACGUAGGGAUGCUUUAGAGGUGAGUCUUUUACAAAGAGCCAUGUGGGUCCCGCUAGGUCUCAAUAUGAUGCACAUAAGCAUGACCUAAAGGCUGACCUACGUUGGGGUUCACUAACAAGACUGUUCAGGGGAGCGUAUGGUCGAUAGUGUCUGCUUUGCUUUCCAACUACUCCAUAACACCGACGGCUCCCCUUAAAAUAAGGGUGACUCAACUAGAGGUCGUGUACAACACGUAUACUACGGACUUGUUGCAGAAAGAAGGCCUGGGGGUAGACACAUGAUGUCAGAUAUAAAAGCGGUAACACAUAGGAUAAAUACUGUACACAAAGAGUACGAAAAUAUUCCACAAUGAUAAAACAAUAACACAAAACAACACAACAAAAUGUUUAUACACCUAUAGUGCCAAACAAAAUUGAUACGACUCCAAAAUAAGCUCGAAUUCUGAACAGGUCCCCAGCAGAGUCGCCAGAGCUGUCACACCCUUUUUUUUUAACCAGAAAAGAUUAUAUUUUAAAGUUCGAAAGGGUUUUUAUUGUUAAGUGACAAAAGAAAAUGAUUUGUUUCGAAAAAAGAUUAUUUACAUUUUUUGUUCAGAGUCGCCACUUUACAUAAUCCGGUGUGCCAAGUCACCUUGGAAAAAUCCUUUUCAAAACGGUUUGACUCUUUUCUAAAACUAGUUUGCGAAUAGAGAUUCUGGCUAAGGAAUUCUAUUGACCGAGGGAAAGGUGUUAGGUACCCCUCGGUCCCGUGGUUCGACCACGGUCGCUUGAUGAAGCGUAUCGGCUAAUUUUGACACUACGAAUGUACAAACCACACAAAAAAAUACGUAAAACAGUCAAACAAACAAACAAAACAAAAAAGAAUCAAAAGUAUAGUGUCCAGUCCAAUUUAUACAGUCCAAAAUAGAAUAAUGCAAAAAUAAAUCCUAUCUAACCUACAGUAAUACUAACUAGGCUCCCGUGCUUUACCCGACGUCUAGAGCCUUCCUCACAAUUCGUCUUCGCCAACAUGAUACGUCGGGGCAUUCCCCGGUGAAUAAAUACAUCAAUCUUUGGGGCAUUCCCCAGCCAAAUGAAUACAUUUCAAUCCGAAAACAUAGAUCAACACAUUUUAACAAAAAAACACUUUCAUCAUUCAAUGAUUGCAAGUCCUACUUUUGCCUACCCGAACCUACUCUUUACCUAUCUAAUUCGACCUGUCAUGAUACUAUUAUAUCAACGAUAUUCAAUGAAUCACAAUAAAUUAACACUUACUUUUAUCAAUUUCGAUUCCACCUCCUACUAAUUUUAUUUUUUUUAAUCAAUCAAACCUUCAACAUUACUUCGAUUCAUCCCACAUAUCAACAAAAUCAAAUCGUCAAACACAUAAUUAUAACAUCAUAACACCAACAAAAUUCAAAACUAUCAACACACGUAAUCACAACCAAUCCAAAUAAUUGAAAUAAAGAACAGGGAGACGGGUUAAAGAAAUAGACCUUUCAAUAACCGACUUUUGUUGAUAAUAAAGAAAUUCGAGACCGAAAUCCUCGAACAAGGAACCCAACUCGAACCUCAAUCUCGAAUACCAGCUAACUCGACCAUGAAAAUCCGGAAAUUUGAGUUGAAUAAAAUCGAAACAAUACCCACGUACACCUGGAACACCCGAAAUAGAAAUUGCGACAAAAGCCCCGAACCCUUUUGCAAAACUUUAUGGAAAUCGAAUCAAAUAGGGAAAAUUCGGCAAAGAAUUAACUGCUGGUUCUGGUUUCUCGGAGCGGUGCCGGAGUUUGAAGAAAACUGACUGAUUCCGGCAGAGAGUUUCGCCAGAAAAACUCGGUGACACUGCCGUGAAGCCUUGAAAACCCACUUAUGGACUGAUCUCACGCCUCUUCUCUAUCUCUCUCAACCUUUUCCUCUAUAUCUUGCCUUCGUGAGCUGUGUAUAUAUGUUUGUUGUGUGCGUAUAUGGUGAGGUUAGUGGACGAUUGUGUGUGGAAGAGAAGAUGAUGAAAAGAAAAAAUAGUUUUCACUCCUCCCUGAAUAUGGAGAUU
rnacentral:lncRNA from 1 species